rnacentral:rRNA from 1 species
UAAACUUAAUAAUUUGACUGUAAUUAAUUUUAUAAAGGAGCUUGUAAUUUAAUCGAUUCUACACGUUUAUCUUACUUAUAUUUAUUUGUAUAUCUCCGUUUAAGAUUUUAUUUAAAAUUAUAUAAAUUUUCUUAAAAAUUUAUAUUAAAAUAUCAGGUCAAGGUGCAGUAUAUAUAAGUUAUUAUGCGCUACAUUAAAAAAUUAUUUAAAUGAAUUUUAAUUUGUAAAUUUAAAUGAAAGUGGAUUUAUAAGUAAAAUAAAGUAAUUUAUUUAUUUGAAAACAAAUUAAUUAUGUACACAU